UACGUAGGGUGCAAGCGUUGUUCGGAAUUAUUGGGCGUAAAGAGCUCGUAGGCGGUUUGUUGCGUCGGCUGUGAAAUCCCGAAGCUCAACCUCGGGUCUGCAGUCGAUACGAGCAAACUAGAGUGUUGCAGGGGAGACUGGAAUUCCUGGUGUAGCGGUGAAAUGCGCAGAUAUCAGGAGGAACACCGGUGGCGAAGGCGGGUCUCUGGGCCGAUACUGACGCUGAGGAGCGAAAGCGUGGGGAGCGAACAGG
rnacentral:rRNA from 1 species